GCCCGGAUAGCUCAGUUGGUAGAGCAGCGCAUUCGUAAUGCGAAGGUCGGAGGUUCGACUCCUCUUUCGGGCACCA
rnacentral:tRNA from 1 species